rnacentral:rRNA from 1 species
UGCGCAGGCGGAUUGUUAAGCAAGACGUGAAAUCCCCGGGCUUAACCUGGGAAUGGCGUUUUGAACUGGCAGUCUAGAGUGCGUCAGAGGGGGGUGGAAUUCCACGUGUAGCAGUGAAAUGCGUAGAGAUGUGGAGGAACACCGAUGGCGAAGGCAGCCCCCCUGGGAUGACACUGACGCUCAUGUACGAAAGCGUGGGUAGCAAACA